GUAAUAUAUCGGAACGUGCCCAGUCGUGGGGGAUAACGUAGCGAAAGUUACGCUAAUACCGCAUACGAUCUAAGGAUGAAAGCGGGGGAUCGCAAGACCUCGCGCGAUUGGAGCGGCCGAUAUCAGAUUAGGUAGUUGGUGGGGUAAAGGCUCACCAAGCCAACGAUCUGUAGCUGGUCUGAGAGGACGACCAGCCACACUGGAACUGAGACACGGUCCAGACUCCUACGGGAGGCAGCAGUGGGGAAUUUUGGACAAUGGACGCAAGUCUGAUCCAGCCAUUCCGCGUGCAGGAUGAAGGCCCUCGGGUUGUAAACUGCUUUUGUACGGAACGAAAAGGUCUCUCUUAAUACGAGGGGCUCAUGACGGUACCGUAAGAAUAAGCACCGGCUAACUACGUGCCAGCAGCCGCGGUAAUACGUAGGGUGCAAGCGUUAAUCGGAAUUACUGGGCGUAAAGCGUGCGCAGGCGGUUAUGUAAGACAGAGGUGAAAUCCCCGGGCUCAACCUGGGAACUGCCUUUGUGACUGCAUAGCUAGAGUACGGUAGAGGGGGAUGGAAUUCCGCGUGUAGCAGUGAAAUGCGUAGAUAUGCGGAGGAACACCGAUGGCGAAGGCAAUCCCCUGGACCUGUACUGACGCUCAUGCA
rnacentral:rRNA from 1 species